UUUUAAAAUAUUUUUAAUUCUAGGGCGAAUUUUGGAUUCGUAACGAAUACAGAAUUCGUCCCAGAUUUUUGGGACAAAUCCAUGAUUUAGGGAAGAAUUCAGAAUUCGUCCCAAUCUGGGACGAAUCCUCAAUUUGUCGCCAAAAACCCCUAAAAUCGUUCCAGAUCUCCGUUCCUUUCCUUUGCCACUCGUGUUUUCUUCUCUCGGCGGUGGCUGCAGCGAUCUUCGGCGGCGGUGACUGCGAUCUCCAGCGGCGUUGGCAGUGUGUCUUGUGGAUUUGCACACUCGGGUUGCAGUAAUUCUAAAUCAAGACGCAAUCACUGAGAUGGGCUAUGGGCAUAGUUUCUGCAAUGAUUAUUCUAAGACUCAUAGAGAGGAGAAGAGGGAAGAGUUGUUCGAAAAUCUAAAACUUGAUGAUUCUAUUGGAUGGGAAGUUGAUGUUAUAGAUCCAUGGGAGCUAUCAGCUAAGAUGUUAAAGAGGAAAAGAAGAUUUGAUGGGAAAGAAAGUUUGUGGAAAAUAAAUAUGAGUUGAUGUAUGUAUAGUUUAUUUUGAAAAAACUUGUAUAACUUUUAGGAGUGUUGGACUUGUAACUUCUUUGAGUCUUGAAGAAUUGAUUUGUGGAACUUUGGAUUUGUAUUAUUGUAAAAUUGAUUUUAAAUAUUAAUAGAUUUAUAUAUUUGUUAAA